rnacentral:rRNA from 1 species
UACGAAGGGGGCUAGCGUUGUUCGGAUUUACUGGGCGUAAAGCGCACGUAGGCGGAUCGUUAAGUCGGGGGUGAAAUCCUGGAGCUCAACUCCAGAACUGCCUUCGAUACUGGCGAUCUUGAGUCCGGAAGAGGUGAGUGGAACUCCUAGUGUAGAGGUGGAAUUCGUAGAUAUUAGGAAGAACACCAGUGGCGAGGGCGGCUCACUGGUCCGGUACUGACGCUGAGGUGCGAAAGCGUGGGGAGCAAACAGG